UGAUGCAACCAAGCCAGUGGCUAAAGACGGAGAAGGAGAUGAAUGUUGAAAUGAAGAAGGGAAUGACCAGAAGAAGAAGCUGGUUCAUGAUCCAAGUUUGAUAUUGUAGAGGAAGUAAUCUGGAUACUUCAAAGAUGAGACUGGUUCAUACAGACUUGUGAACCAAGUUAUGGUUAGAGUGGAGAAGGAAGAAGCAUGGCUGAGUGUGAUCCAUUGAUCUUAUAAAUAAAGAAGACAAAGAGAAGAAGAGAUACUUGAAAAGAUUCAGGUCUGGAAAACCUUGCUACACAAGGCAGUCCGUACAGUCUUGGCUUCCAAGUUACCUAGAGUGACUUGGAUGGUAAGGCAGGUGAGGAACUCGUACAGCUUGAUCUUCUGAAGCAGAUUUGAAGUUAAAAUGGAGCAUCAGACCGUUGGAGAGAGCUGAGACAAGUUGGGAAUUAAAUAGAGUAAAAGUCACAUGUGCAUAAGAGGAUGAACCUGCUGUCACUUUCACCCAACCAGACUGUGCCCAUCUCUCUCCCCUGUCACUCUCUACUCCCUCUGGUCGAGAUUCACCUUGGCUGUACCUUCCUGGCUUCACCAGAAAACCCUACAAUAUUAUUUGUUUAGUAAAACCCUGUUUUAGUAUUUGUUUAAUAUGUGUGCUUGUCUAUUUAAGACAAUGUUGUAUCUGAUUGUAAACUAAGGAGAGUAAAACUCUUUCUUCACAUACUCUGGUUACUAAACUCUCAGAUUCUCCUAUUCUCUCUAUUCUCUUGUCUCUCACGACCUCCAUUACUCCCUUAUACUCUAGCAUACUCAGAAACUCUCCCAAACACUUUAUACUCUUUCUUCACUCUCUCAUUACUUUCAAUUGCUCAUCAAUCACUCUCUCUGGUUUCAUACUGAACCAGAAGCUUAUUCUCAUCAUAUUCCUUUUAUUUCAUCUCAAUUCUUUCAUGGUAUCAGAGCCACAAGCUCUUGAGAACCUAUAUUGCUUCCGCAAAUUAUCCCUGUCCAAAUUCUCUCUUUAAAAAUCUGUUCAAACCUGUUUGUUACAUCCUUUUAUCCUCUGGUCCAAAGGUUUUCCAGGAGGGAAAAGCCUCACCAGAACUCAAGAUAAAGGAGUAUCUCAGUCUCUGGAACUCAAGAAAGUCUUAGCUCAGUUCAGCAAGCUUCAUCAAAGUCCAGUCUUUCAAAUCCUGUCCCUUUCAAACCAGUAGGAACAUCCUAUUAUCCACUGGUCCAAAAAUCUUCAAGAUGAUGAAUAUUCAAGCAUGGGCGAGUUCAGUGAAGCUCAAAACUCCAAACUACUCUCUCUGGGUCAGAAUGAUGAAGAAAAACCAUAGAGGCAAAGGUGUUUGGAGCCAUACUUCAGAUGAAGCUCCAUGGAAAAUCUGCAAGGUCUUUGCUCAUGUUAAUGAGAGACAACCAGAAGCUCAGUCUCUGUCCAACAAAUCCUACUUCAAGUUGGAAGAGAAGAAAGGUCAGAAGAGUCAGCACUGCAAGGAAGGACUCACUAAGGAUAGGUGGUGGAUAUUCAAUCCACAUCUGAAACAAAUGUACUUUCAAUAAGCCCCCAUGGGCUGGAGAGUCAAGAAACCAGCUCAGGUUUCUUGAGAUUGUGGUGACAGGUUAUUAAAUGUUAUGUGAUGACCUUUACACAUCAAGCACAAGCUCAAAGCUCACACCCUCUUGAAGACUGCUCAAACCGACUUUCUCAAAUUUACUUCAAUAUGGAGUCAACAAAAGCCACGGUCCUCUCAGUCAUUCUCAGGGUUCCUAUCUGAUCCCCUGGUCGUGUAUGGUGAAGUCAAAUCAGCAAGAAGAAACAAUGAGAAGCCAUUUCAUCUCAUGUUCUUAAAAGCACUCAAAUUCAGCUCAAAUUCAGCCAUGCUUCAAGGAAAGUUCACAGGCGGAUGAUGUCCAAUAGAACCAAGAAGACCAGGAGGACAGGAGGGGAUCCAAGGGUGAGCUUUACAAACAGGGCCAAACACACAAGGAAAAGGAGUUGGGUAAUGAAUCCAAAACUCAAAUCCACCAAGCUCAGAUGAGUAGUGUGUAUAUGAAGGUUCAAGGAACCAGCCCAGGUUCCUUGGCUGUAAGUUAAACCUCCUAAACCUGAACAAUAGCUUGUGUAAUGUGUCUGGUCGUUUUUGAGUGAUGGUUUAGAGUCCAAUGGAUCAUGAUAAGUUGCUAGAAGUUGCAUUUUGUCUUAAUCUUAUCAUCUGUGGUUGUUUUUGUUCCUAGAAGUGUCUGCCUAGGUUGUCAUGCAUCCAUGAUAUAUUGAUAUCGAUUGGGAGUCCUUUAAUUGUCAUGUCUGCCUUGAGAUUGUUAAGUAUCUAGGAGUGUUCCUAGAUGUGUGGUGUAUUCAUGCUGUUGUUGAAAUUGAUUAGGUUAUUAGCCUAGUCUUCUUUAGCAUCUGGAUUGUCUUAAAAAUGCAUAUUGGAUUGUAUUAAAGAGGCAUACAUAUUGUUCCUGGUGCAUUCAUAUUGUUUCUAAAGCUGUCAUAGGAGGUGAUAAGCUCUUUUGCAAUCUGUUUUUUUUUUAAGCAGUGGCGACCAGUCUUCAUUUUAUUCAAUGAUCUGGUCCCAUGCUGAUGUUACUGAUCCCUAUCUGAGUUGUAAUGGUGUGUAGGACACAGGAUGUGACUAUUAGACCAGAAGCAGCAACAGGAAAAGGGAUAUACCCAUGUUGAUCAGAGCCUGCACAAGAUGCAUAUUCCUGAACAUGGAGAAAAGAGACCAUGUUGUUCAGAGCCUACACUUGGUGUAUAUUACUGACCAUGGAGAGACAUCUUAUGAGUGGAAUCAGUUGGCUUAAGCGCAGGCGUAGGAGCUGUUGUGCUCCUGGUUCAAGAGACUCACAAGGAAGGCCAUCACCUAAGUCAUGAGGAGACUGGUGGUCCAAAGACAUUGGAGCUGAAGGCAAAUGGUGAUCCAGUUGGCUUAAGCGCAGAUGUUGGUAUUGUUGUGCUCCUGGAAGAUGGUGAACUGGUUGGCUUAAGCGCAGAUGUUGGUAUUGUUGUGCUCCCAGUUCAAAACUCAUUGAAGCUCACGUUCAAGCUUGUCACUAUACUCAGUCAAGCUUGAGGAGGGGAAUAUCAGUGAGCUACCAAAAGAUCCAUGAAGCUUAUUAUAUCCAGUGUCCCAUUUCCUCAUAGAAGACCAGCAAGAGGUUGGCAAAUUAAAAGAGGACUUAAGUGAUCAGUCUGAAGAAGCUGUCACUCCUCACUGUUCUUACCAGCCAGAUGCAAGGAUUAUUCAAUCAGGGACAUUCUUGGCUAAGCAAUCACAUGAUGGUGGCAAAUUAUGUAGUUGCAAAGUCCCCCUACAUGUUGAAACUUCAAGAGAACAAUGCAAAGGCUGGUUGAGAGAAGGAAUGGCGUGGAGGAUUCAAAUGCUCUGCACUCCUCAUCAACAUUCCAGAAACUAAUGCAAGGGGAGUACCUAAAACCAUCCUUAUUCUUAUGUGAGAAUAGGUUUUCCCCUUGAGAAUUGAUACAUGCAUUCUUUGUAUGAUUGAAUCAGGUACCUAUUGAGCUUAUGAACAAAGACAAGCUUUGUCUCAACCCCUAAAUAGAGGCAAGAAGCUAGAAGAAAGGGGGAGACAAGCUCAGGUCAUAAGAAGAAGCUCAAAGGUGAUUUGAUGGUGAAGGAAUUGGCGCCAAUCCAAGUUUGCAAGUAGUGGAUUCACUCUUGCAUUACUCAGUACCAACCGUGUGAUUGAGCUCACCAUUCUUAUAAAAGGGAAGCACCUUAAACUCAUCUCAAUACAUUCUUGAUUGUCCUUAUACUUAAACUAUUAUUGAGUUUGAUGUGAUGAGUGCAUUUCCUUAAGAACUGAUGCACUUUUGAAAUGAUGUAUCAGGUACCAAAAUAAGUUUGAGCCUCACUGAAGAUGAUGAUGAUGAUCCGGUCAUGUCCUAGCCUUCCUAAGGUAGUUGAAGCCAGUUGAGAGAGAGAGAGACCCUAAACCGGCCACAAAAUGAUCCAGCCUGCCACUUGUGCUCAAGGAUAGCAAGUUAUGGUGAUUCAUACUUGCUAUACCUAUUAGGCCACGAUCCAGAGCCUAAGGACUCCACCAUGAUGAAUCUGAAGUUCCUUAGGCUCACUGGCCAAUCCCUAAGCUUUGUAGAAACUCCACUCUUUUUUCCCUUAGCAAGUUUUGUCCCAAUGGGUUUUCUUGCUAAGGUUUUUAAUGAGGGAGCUUCUUCAAGGUUCCAAGCUUGUCCAAGGAUCUCCUAUGGUCAAGCUUGAGGGGGAGUGUUGAAAUGAAGAAGGGAAUGACCAGAAGAAGAAGCUGGUUCAUGAUCCAAGUUUGAUAUUGUAGAGGAAGUAAUCUGGAUACUUCAAAGAUGAGACUGGUUCAUACAGACUUGUGAACCAAGUUAUGGUUAGAGUGGAGAAGGAAGAAGCAUGGCUGAGUGUGAUCCAUUGAUCUUAUAAAUAAAGAAGACAAAGAGAAGAAGAGAUACUUGAAAAGAUUCAGGUCUGGAAAACCUUGCUACACAAGGCAGUCCGUACAGUCUUGGCUUCCAAGUUACCUAGAGUGACUUGGAUGGUAAGGCAGGUGAGGAACUCGUACAGCUUGAUCUUCUGAAGCAGAUUUGAAGUUAAAAUGGAGCAUCAGACCGUUGGAGAGAGCUGAGACAAGUUGGGAAUUAAAUAGAGUAAAAGUCACAUGUGCAUAAGAGGAUGAACCUGCUGUCACUUUCACCCAACCAGACUGUGCCCAUCUCUCUCCCCUGUCACUCUCUACUCCCUCUGGUCGAGAUUCACCUUGGCUGUACCUUCCUGGCUUCACCAGAAAACCCUACAAUAUUAUUUGUUUAGUAAAACCCUGUUUUAGUAUUUGUUUAAUAUGUGUGCUUGUCUAUUUAAGACAAUGUUGUAUCUGAUUGUAAACUAAGGAGAGUAAAACUCUUUCUUCACAUACUCUGGUUACUAAACUCUCAGAUUCUCCUA